AGUGAACGCUGGCGGUAGGCCUAACACAUGCAAGUCGAGCGGAUGAACGGAACGUGCUCGUUGAUUCGGGUGCCGACGGGUGAGUAGGGCCGAGGAAUCUGGGUGGUAGCGGUGGAGAACGGGCGGAAACGGGCGCUAAUACCGUAUACGCGCUGAGGGAGAAAGGGGGGGAGCUGGGGACCUUACGCUAUCAGAUGAGCCUAGGUCGGAUUAGCUAGUUGGUGGGGUAAAGGCCUACCAAGGCGACGAUCCGUAACUGGUCUGAGAGGAUGAUCAGCCACACUGGAACUGAGACACGGUCCAGACUCCUACGGGAGGCAGCAGUGGGGAAUAUUGGACAAUGGGCGCAAGCCUGAUCCAGCCAUGCCGCGUGUGUGAAGAAGGUCUUCGGAUUGUAAAGCCCUUUUAGUUGGGAGGAAGGGCAGUAAGUUAAUACCUUGCUGUUUUGACGUUACCAACAGAAUAAGCACCGGCUAACUUCGUG
rnacentral:rRNA from 1 species